UGUGGCCUACGGGGCGCAGCAGUGGGGAAUAUUGGACAAUGGGGGAAACCCUUAUCCAGCGACGCCGCGUGAGGGAAGAAGGUUUUCGGAUUGUAAACCUCUGUCAGUGGGGACGAUAAUGACGGUACCCACGGAGGAAGCCACGGCUAACUACGUGCCAGCAGCCGCGAUAAUACGUAGGUGGCAAGCGUUGUCCGGAUUUACUGGGUGUAAAGGGAGCGUAGACGGUUAUGUAAGUCUGGAGUGAAAGCCCGGGGCCCAACCCCGGGACUGCUUUGGAAACUGUGUAACUGGAGUACAGGAGG
rnacentral:rRNA from 1 species